GACGAAAAGAUUUGUACACAUGCAAAGAGAUUGGGAGCCAUUAUUAUAGGGCUCCUGUCAGGAAGAUGGACAGAGGUACGGCUAAUCUGAUGGUGAGUAUAUAUAUGUGUGCGGUGCAUUUGCUUCUAGAUUUAUGUGGAUGUUUGAGGGUACAUGUGUAUAUAUACCUAGUUCUUUUGAAAUUAAGAUGACUGAAAAUUAGGAAACAUCCAUUUUGACUAGUCUACCGUUCUUGCAUGUGGUAGGCACUCAAGUAUUUGUUGGCUGGUCAGUAUCAAUAUUUUAGCCACCCCCAAACAGGGUCAGAUUUGUUAACAAAUACUGAAUUUUUAUUUUGUUCCAUAUUUUCUGUUUAGGAGAAAAAACAGUGGAGUGAAAAGGUAGAACUAAUAAUAGUUGGAAGAAACUGAAGUUUAAGUUUGGUGAGGAAAUUGUAACUAGGCACCUCACUAGUCUAAAUAGAUUCAGAUCCCCAGUGCAGGACAAAUUAUAUCCAUUGAUCUUGAAAGAAUGUGUAAACUAGAUCACUGAACUCUCCAUGGUCUUUGAGGAGUCCUAGAGAAGUAGAUGUGCCAGAGGAUUACAGUGCCAGUGGGACUAGGAAGAGAUAAAUUCUUGAAAACCCACAGCAAGAGGCUUAAUAUGACUUGUAGGUGAGAUUACAGAAUGGUAGAACGGCUCAUUCAUUAGAAGGAAAGCAGUAAGUCCUGUUAGCCAAUCAAACACAUGUUCUUAUUUGUGAUACAGUUAUCAGAAAAAUUGAUAAUAAUUCACAUCUAUAUAUUUUUACUUUAAUUUUGCUCAGGUACAGAGUGUAUCCAGACUUCAACUAGCCAGUUGUCAAGGUCCUCUACGAUAUCCUUUUGGACAAGCUAGAGAAAUAUGGGCAGUUAUUAGUAUAGGAUUAUACCGAACAGGUGUUUAUAAACAACUCAAAUCAGUGUUUUACAAACUCUUUGAUUAUGACUUGCAGUGAGAAAUAGAUUUUUCAUAUUAUAAUCUAUUAUCUAUAUAAUAGAUUUUUCAUAAUAAGUGUGCAUGUACAUACACGUGUAUAUGCAUAAUUAAAAUUAUGGAUGUGCUUAGAUGUUUCUCAUUCUAUAUUUUUCUAUUAUAUUUCCUUAAAAAAUUUCUGGCUGCCCCCUACUAAAUCUAUUUGAAGACUCACUAGUGGGCUGGUGUUCACAGUUUGAAAAACAUGAACUGAUUUCAAUCAGAAAGGUUUUAGGAAAUAGAGAUGUUUUUAUCCUGUUCAAUAAAAUAUUUGGAUGAAGGUAUAGAAGGACUGUUCUCAAAUUUGCAGAUAAUAAGAUAAAAAUAAGACAAGUUGUUUUGCCUGAUAUAGUUAAAGUUAAGGAAUUUUUAGCAAAUUUAAGUAAAAUAAAAAUUCAAUCAAAUCUAAAAUAGGUAAAUUCAAUUCUGCACUUUAUGUCCAAAUCCACUUGUAAAGCUAGUGGACAUGUGCUGCUGCCUAGGAGCAGAAAGUCUAGAAACAAAACAAAACAGUAACAAAAAAAUAGAACCUUGGUGUUUCACUUGACAGUAAUUUUAACAUGAGAGGAGAAUGGACCCAAUGUCUUUUGAGAAGCUACUACCUCUCAAACAUAAAUUACUGUGCAUUACAUGAAUCAUUGGUGUCAUGUUGCUGGAAAAAUGAGAACCAAACCAAACCAAAGCAAACUAAUCUGACUUAGGGAUAUGUUAACAGGAAUUCUAUUUCUAAAGGUUUAGGUUCAGGUAAGGAUCUCCCUCUGUUUGAUAUUGUCUAAGCUGACCUAUGGUUUGAAGUACCCUGGUCAGACAAAGUUUAGAGGAAACCAAGAAUCCUGCUCUUUAAGGAACAGGUGAAGGGAAUGGGAACAUUUAGCCUGGACAACUGCUGUUUUCUAUCGUUCAUUUUAAAAAAUACCUUUAAUAAAUGUAAAUUAUAAGCCAGGCACGUCAGCCGCUGAAAACACAAAAAUAAUUGCAGCAUUGUCUUUUUCCACAGCCAAUGAAGGGAAAGAUUAUUUAUCAACACUUGCUACUACAUGAAGUACCUUAAAUGUAUUUAUUAGCUCCUUUCAUCCUUUAGUCCUAUGAAUCUCUACUUUGGGAUGGAUAAAAUAAGGCUUUGAAGAGAAGUCAUUUGCCCAAGAUCACACAGAUAAGUGGGUAGUGAAAGUGGAAUCCAAACCCAGGUUCUAGUGAGUCUGGUGACUGUGGUCUUAACCGCUUGGCAAUAUUGCCUCUUGAAACUCAGAUGCAUGGGCACUCUUUGAAGGACUGUCCUUUGGAAUUAGGGGUAUGCAUCUAUUAAAGCAAGACUCUAUACAAAAUUGAUAUUCACUGCAUAAAAUAUUUUUAAAUCUGGAGAUUUAAAAAUGAACCUCAUUAAGUUGCCUCUCAUUAUAUAGCUAUCUUUUAUUUCAAAAUAGUGUUAAUGCAGAUGCAAAGUUAUCUGUAUACUUGCAAGAGGCUUUGUAGGCUAACAGGAGAAAGACCUACUUGAAUUUUCUAAACUGUACGCUUUUGGGGACAGUAUUGAAAACAUAACUGUGCAAUUAUGAAACUUGUAUGUAGUUAUAAUUGUUCUUACAUUGUUAUGGGUCAUUCAACACAGACUGUUACCGUUAUACUAAGGGUACAAGGACACAUUUCCUUUAUGCUGGCUGCUGAGUUGAAAUCAUUUCAUUGAAUUCUCACUUCCCAGUGGGGAUGUUAUUCUCGUUCCUGUUAGUGAACGAGGAUACUGCGUUCAAUAACUUGAGUAAGUUGUGAGUGUGAUUCAAAAGACUGUGUCCGCUUUGGACAGUACCACACUGCCUUCGAGGAGCUGACAGGGAACUGGGGAACACUUUUUAAAGUCUAAAAUUAGCAAGAGGUAGAACCUGCUGCCACAUAUAUGAACAGCGGGGUGAAAAGAAGCUAGUGGGAUGACCAUGUCAGACAGAUACAUAAUUUUAAAAUUGUCAAGUUGCCAAUGAAAACAGUGUUUGCAAAAGCAGAUGCUACUCACUUGGGAGAGAUAAAAUGCUAUAGGUGGAUAUAUGUCACAGGAUUUUUCAAUGACAGGACACCUAAGUCUAGCUAUUAAGACUUAGAGGUUUUGUAAGUUUUCCAUACAUUUUCAAUCUUUCUAACAUUUUAUAAUUCCCUAGCUAUUUGAGUUAAAUGGACAUACCAACUACUACUUUUUUCAGAAAUGUCUGCUUGACUAUUUUAAUAAUUCAGUCACUUUAGUGCAAGUUUAAACACACACAACUAAGAACUAAGCCUAAGUACCUGUCUUGAAAAAUUCUGUUAUACAGGACUUAUGGUACUUUAGAAUUUUAACGUGUUCCAGUAUCCUGGGAGUUAACUUGACUAACCAAUCCAAUUAAAUAUGAGUAAUAAGAAACUGGAUUAUGACAGAUUUGUAGACUGACUGUUUUCAUUUGAGAUGACAAUUAAAAUGAUUUGAAUUUACCUCAAGAUACCUAAUAGUUUUGGUGUCUUACAAUAUAUCUUUACUGAAAGGGGCACACCUCAUGAAAUAUUAAAUAAAAUUACAUCCUUCAUUUCAAGGAAGAAAACAGCAGUCAUGCUUAUUUCGUUUUAAUUCAAUACAAGCAGCAAGACUGCUGUGUACAUUUUAAUACCUUUUUAAAUAAAGUAAUUUUUUCUCUCUAUAUAUGUGAAGAUGCAAAAGUCUACUUUUAUCACAGAUGAAGGCUGGCAGAGAAAUACCUAUCUUUUAAGAUAAUUUCCAAAUCCUCUAAAGUGUGCAUGCCUAAGAAAAAGGGAGGUAUCAUUAAUUGACCUCAUACCUGAGGAUCGCUAAGGAUUUUUCAAAUGUGGCAUUUGUUGCUCCCACCAAACUACCACCCCAGACUGCACACAAUGCAGUCUUUCAAGGCUGGGAAGUGAGUUCAAGAACUGUUUGUUGUUCAGAGAUCCAUCCAGAGCGGAUCACUGUUUGACAAGUUCUAUUUUAAGUCGUGCCUGUGUGUGCAGGUGUCAGCCUCUUUCAUGGCCGUAGAAAAAGACCCAUUACACUCCCAUCUGUAUCCUUUCCCCUACGAAGCGGGAGCGUUCCCCACAGUGCGUUUGUUUCUGCUUUGCUCGCCACUUUUUCACUGGGAAAUUCCGGGGAGGGCCUGGCGGGAAGGACUGUGAGGAAGGGCGAAGAGGGGUGGAAAGAGGUCGUCUGCCACUCCCCUACCUUGCAAGGCACGUGGCACUGGCAGUAGCAGCAGCUGGGUGCGACGACGAAGAUGAAUCUCCCCCUAGCAAGAGGAUAUUGAGGGAAUAAGGAGGUGGCAGCGAAGGCAAGACACACACACUCU
rnacentral:lncRNA from 1 species